rnacentral:rRNA from 1 species
AAUGAACGCUGGCGGCAGGCCUAACACAUGCAAGUCGAACGCUCCGCAAGGGGAGCGGCGCACGGGUGAGUAACGCGUGGGAAUAUGCCCUUCGGUUCGGAAUAACACAGGGAAACUUGUGCUAAUACCGGAUACGAUCUACGGAUGAAAGAUUCAUCGCCGAAGGAGUAGCCCGCGUAGGAUUAGCUUGUUGGUGAGGUAAUGGCUCACCAAGGCGACGAUCCUUAGCUGGUCUGAGAGGAUGAUCAGCCACACUGGGACUGAGACACGGCCCAGACUCCUACGGGAGGCAGCAGUGGGGAAUAUUGGACAAUGGGCGAAAGCCUGAUCCAGCCAUGCCGCGUGAGUGAUGAAGGCCUUAGGGUUGUAAAGCUCUUUCGCCGGGGAAGAUAAUGACGGUACCCGGAAAAGAAGCCUCGGCUAACUCCGUGCCAGCCGCCGCAGUAAAAC